rnacentral:rRNA from 1 species
GCCUGAUCCAGCCAUGCCGCGUGCAGGAUGACGGUCCUAUGGAUUGUAAACUGCUUUUGUACGAGAAGAAACACUCCUACGUGUAGGAGCUUGACGGUAUCGUAAGAAUAAGGAUCGGCUAACUCCGUGCCAGCAGCCGCGGUAAUACGGAGGAUCCAAGCGUUAUCCGGAAUCAUUGGGUUUAAAGGGUCCGUAGGCGGUUUAGUAAGUCAGUGGUGAAAGCCCAUCGCUCAACGGUGGAACGGCCAUUGAUACUGCUGAACUUGAAUUAUUAGGAAGUAACUAGAAUAUGUAGUGUAGCGGUGAAAUGCUUAGAGAUUACAUGGAAUACCAAUUGCGAAGGCAGGUUACUACUAAUGGAUUGACGCUGAUGGACGAAAGCGUGGGUAGCGAACAGGAUUAGAUACCCUGGUAGUCCACGCCGUAAACGAUGGAUACUAGCUGUUGGAAGCAAUUUCAGUGGCUAAGCGAAAGUGAUAAGUAUCCCACCUGGGGAGUACGUUCGCAAGAAUGAAACUCAAAGGAAUUGACGGGGGCCCGCACAAGCGGUGGAGCAUGUGGUUUAAUUCGAUGAUACGCGAGGAACCUUACCAAGGCUUAAAUGUAGAUUGACCGGUUUGGAAACAGAUCUUUCGCA